rnacentral:snoRNA from 1 species
UCGCCCAUGAUGAUAUCAUAAUAAUCUUAGCGGAUUUCAUUGAGACUUUUCGUCUAUGAUCUAUUGUUACACACACUGAGGCAU